GUUAGAUAGAUUGAUAGAUUUUGUCGAUCUGCAACAAUAGCAUGUGUUAUGUUUAAUGGAUGUAUUGAUCGGUGACUAAAAAAGGAGUAAACAUUUUGUGUUUGAUAAAUGAUAAACCAUAAAUUCAAGGUAAUUAGCAGAACCUUAAACCCUAAUUCCUGCCAAGUUUUCAUGUUCUGAUAUAGAUAGUUAGGCAUGACUCAUGAGUAGUAGUAUUAGUUACACCCGGCCAUGUGGGUUCAUGGCCUACCUACCAAUCUACCAUUAAUUCAGAUGAUUUAAGCAUACCCAAGAAGGCAAGUUUCUUACCAGUUGUUUUGAUCAUCAGUCGAUGGUUCACAGGUAAGAGACCUAGAAAUAGGUAGUCAGAGACUUAGGGGGACGGUGGUCAAGUAGUUAGAGGUUAGAAGUUAGAACUAAUUGGAAAGAUCAAAGGUAGUAGUAGCUAGAUCUGUCUGUAGAUCGAAAAGAAUUGAAGGAACUGUUUAAGUUGAUUGGAAUUGUUAUUUUUUGUGUAAAGGGAUCUAUAGACAACAUACAUAGAUGAGACAUGGUGCACGUGAAACCGAGGUUUGAGUUUCAGAUGUCGGUACAUAAGGUAGCCCUACUUAGUUCGUAUACUCACUCUAUUCCACAGUUCAAAACAGCUCAGCUUUGAUGAGACAUCAGAAUGAAUCAAUUUAUAUAUGCUUCUUCUCCUUCACUCCUCCUGCCUUUAUAUAUAACCUGCAUAACCUACCACUCCUCUUUCUCAUCAUCGUCGUCGUCGUCGUCGUCGUCGUCAUCAUCCAUUUCUUCAUGGAGGAAUUAGCUGUGACUGAAAGAGUAGGGAAGUGGAAGAGAAUUGCAAGGCAACAGAAAGGGAAGCUCUAUAUCAUGAGGACUUGCAUCACCAUGCUUCUUUGCUGGCAUAAGUACUCAUAAAUCAUAAUCGUUCGAGAAGAGAAAGAGAACCAUUCUUUCUUUUUCUUAAUCCUGACAUGCACAUAUGCUGUUUUUUUUCUUUCUUUCAAUCAACUAGCUAGUUAGCUAGGUAAUAGUAUUAGAACUUCUUGUGAAUGGAUGUUUAGCUACUUAAUUAAUCAUAUAUAAUUUCUACUGCUACUUGAUAUUUACUGAAAAUAAAGCUCAGG
rnacentral:lncRNA from 1 species